ACGCUCGACACCUACGGGAGCAGCAGUGGGGAAUAUUGCACAAUGGGGGAAACCCUGAUGCAGCAACGCCGCGUGAAGGAAGACGGUUUUCGGAUUGUAAACUUCUGUUCUUAGUGAAGAUAGUGACGGUAGCUAAGGAGCAAGCCACGGCUAACUACGUGCCAACAGCCGCGGUAAUCUGAGCGGGCUGGCAAGGC
rnacentral:rRNA from 1 species